UACGUAGGGGGCAAGCGUUGUCCGGAAUCAUUGGGCGUAAAGAGCGUGUAGGCGGCUCGGUAAGUCCGCUCUGAAAGCCCGGGGCUCAACCCCGGGAGGCGGGCGGAUACUGUCGGGCUAGAGUCCGGAAGAGGCGAGUGGAAUUCCUGGUGUAGCGGUGAAAUGCGCAGAUAUCAGGAGGAACACCGGUGGCGAAGGCGGAUCUCUGGGCCGAUACUGACGCUGAGGAGCGAAAGCGUGGGGAGCGAACAGG
rnacentral:rRNA from 1 species